UUAAAGUUCCAUUGAAUACUGAUAAUGUUUUUGUGCACUUGUGUUGGAACUUCUUAGGUUAAUACAGUCCCCCCUUUGCACCAUCCACUGAGCAGGGCAACCCAAAGGACAGGGAAAGGAGCAGAGAAGACUCUACAAUUGUAUUAGCUUAUGGAGCACAUAGAUUGCUGCUGUUGUGAAAGGUUCAAAAUCCACAACGUAUCAAGUACAAUGGUACAAUUUAAGGUCUCAAGUAUAUAUGGAGAACCGAGGACCUCCGUGGACUUUUCAAGGGCAAUGGUACCAAUUGUGCAAGGAUUGUUCCAAAUUCUGCUGUGAAGUUUUUUAGCUACGAGCAAGCAUCAAAACCAUCUCUCUGGUGCAUGAUCACUGUUUUGUCCUGAAAUUGGGGAAUUUUGUGGGCUUACCGUCAACAGACCGGGGAUGCUGGUGCACACAGUUGUUGAGCAUCCUAGCUCAACUUUGGGUUCUGCAAAAGUUGCAGGUAACAGAGAUUGUUCAAAGAAAGAAGAACUGGUCUCACCAACUGAUAGCAAACAUGAUUCUGCAAAGUUUUCUGAAGAUAGUUCCCAGGAAGUGAGAAAGUGCUCUGAACUGCGGGCAUCUGAUUUGGCUGCUCCAUUGAGUGAUGAACAGCUUGCAUUACUGUUGCAUCAACAAUUAAACAGCUCCCCCAGAGUACCGAGGGUGCCACGUUGCCAUCAAGCAGCUGGUACGCAGAUGCUUCAUCCAACUGGAGCUACUGUUUUUUCUAAGAGGUCCUCAGCGCACGGAGAAAGGGAUCAUGCAGCGGUAAGGUUAUUAGCACCUGGAGGACAUAAAGGUAUCUUUUUAUGUCAGUUCAUCAUUUUUUGGUUUCUAAUGUUGUGAUGCUUCCCUGGGAGUGCAGGUUUUGAAAAAGAGAAGCAGAGAGGAUUCACUAAAAGAUAGUGAGGGCACUAAGAGGAUAGAAAAAAGACAUAGAGAUGCUGGCACAGAACGUGCUUCUUCUGCGGAGGACUCAUGCAGAUCAGCUGAAAAUGUAGCAUCAGAACAGAAAUGUGUGCCAUAUUAUAUGCAGCUGUUUUUUUAGCAGGAUCCUAUUAUUUUCGUCGGCCAAGCUAGCCGACGA